AGUUACAACACAUUUUUGUCUUCUAUCUUUUGUGCUUUCCCAUCAACAGAGGCUUUCGCAAGGAUUACGAACAAGGACCGAAGUUGCUUCUAAGAUCAUCUUCACUUGGCCUAUUUCAGCCGCUUCUAAAGUGGUAUGCCAGAAUGCAAGCUUGGCCUUAACGAUUGAGUGUUGCUAGAGGCACAAGGCAGAGCAACAAAGGGAAAGGCCAUUGAUUUGGAAGACAUCAAAUUUCAUCAAACCACUCAAUACAGAGUCUACAAUGCAAAACUACCAGGAAAAUGCAGCAAGUA